UGAUUAUUGCAGUUUCGAGGGGAGAUGAUGUCACAAGAUCUCGAACCCAUAUCUCAGAACCGCCUGCCUCCUCCCACACACUCUGGCUGUCCUGACCAUCACUUCAAGCCCACCAGCCCUGCAGCAAAAAAAAUCAAACGAGUAGUUCAGAAGGCAAAGUCUGCAAGGGAAGGAAGUAUAUUGGGAGGAGUUUACCGUGAAGAAGCUGACUG
rnacentral:lncRNA from 1 species